GAUUUAACUACUUUGUACCCAUUUUGGUCACCCUAUUGAUUGGCGCUGGUUUUGGAGGAUUCAUUAUAUUUUUCUUGUUAGAUGGCGGUAUCUUAACUUUUUGUUUUUAUGGAAUCAACUCUGCUGCUUUCCUGUUUUUGGUUUUUGACCCCAUAAUUGCCGUCAUAAAAGAGAUACAAUUGGAAUUUGCUGCCAAAAGACAAGAAAUUGAACGAGUUUAUGGUUUUUAAAUUUCACAUUUACUUUCAAGACAAUAUAAUAAUGUAAUAAAAAAA
rnacentral:sRNA from 1 species